rnacentral:rRNA from 1 species
GGUUGACCUCGGAUCAGGUAGGGAUACCCGCUGAACUUAAGCAUAUCAAUAAGCGGAGGAAAAGAAACCAACAGGGAUUGCCUCAGUAACGGCGAGUGAAGCGGCAACAGCUCAAAUUUGAAAUCUGGCUCCUUUGGGGGUCCGAGUUGUAAUUUGUAGAGGAUGCUUCGGGCAAGGCCGUGGUCUAAUUCGCUUGGAACAGCGAGUCACAGAGGGUGAGAAUCCCGUCUAGGAUCGUACGCCGCGUCCAUGUGAAGCUCCUUCGACGAGUCGAGUUGUUUGGGAAUGCAGCUCUAAGCGGGUGGUAAAUUUCAUCUAAAGCUAAAUAUUGGCCAGAGACCGAUAGCGCACAAGUAGAGUGAUCGAAAGAUGAAAAGCACUUUGAAAAGAGAGUUAAACAGUAUGUGAAAUUGUUGAAAGGGAAGCGCUUGCAAUCAGACUUGUGUCUGACGGUUCCCCUGGCCCUCGUGGCCGGGCUACUCCGUCAUGUCCAGGCCAACAUCGGUUUGGGUGGUCGGUCAAAGACCCCGAGAAUGUAUCUACCUUCGGGUCGACUUAUAGCCCGGGGUGGAAUGCGGCCCACCCGGACCGAGGAACGCGCUUCGGCUCGGAUGUUGGCGUAAUGGUUGCAAGCGGCCCGUCUUGAAACACGGACCAAGGAGUCUAACAUCUAUGCGAGUGUCUGGGCGUCAAACCCCUACGCGUAAUGAAAGUGAACGGAGGUAAGAACCCCGCAAGGGGCGCAUUAUCGACCGAUCCUGAUGUCUUCGGAUGGAUUUGAGUAAGAGCAUAGCUGUUGGGACCCGAAAGAUGGUGAACUAUGCCUGAAUAGGGUGAAGCCAGAGGAAACUCUGGUGGAGGCUCGCAGCGGUUCUGACGUGCAAAUCGAUCGUCAAAUUUGGGCAUAGGGGCGAAAGACCAAUCGAACCAUGGUAAAAGAAUGCUUAGAAGUAUCUAAGAGGUGUUUAUCAGGUGGUUCUCCACCAGUCCUUCGGGGCGACAUCGUUCUUCUGGCGGGGUAACACCCGCAGCAGCCCACCCGGGCUGUCCACAGACUAGGAGACGGUGGUCAUCUUAACCAGAAGAUGAUGAUGAUAUAGUCGGUCACGGUGAAC